UACGUAGGGUCCGAGCGUUGUCCGGAAUUACUGGGCGUAAAGAGCUCGUAGGCGGUCUGUCGCGUCGGCUGUGAAAACCUGGGGCUCAACUCCAGGCCUGCAGUCGAUACGGGCAGACUAGAGUUCGGUAGGGGAGACUGGAAUUCCUGGUGUAGCGGUGAAAUGCGCAGAUAUCAGGAGGAACACCGGUGGCGAAGGCGGGUCUCUGGGCCGAAACUGACGCUGAGGAGCGAAAGCGUGGGGAGCGAACAGG
rnacentral:rRNA from 1 species